UGUGAGAAGUUUACAUAUUGA
rnacentral:piRNA from 1 species